UUGUCCCUUUCAGGACCACACUAUGUUUUUGUUGUGCCUUUCAGGACCACACUAUGUUUUUGUUGUGCCUUUCAGGACCACACUAUGUUUUUGUUGUCCCUUUCAGGACCACACUAUGUUUUUGUUGUGCCUUUCAGGACCACACUAUGUUUUUGUUGUGCCUUUCAGGACCACACUAUGUUUUUGUUGUCCCUUUCAGGACCACACUAUGUUUUUGUUGUGCCUUUCAGGACCACACUAUGUUUUUGUUGUCCCUUUCAGGACCACACUAUGUUUUUGUUGUCCCUUUCAGGACCACACUGUCCGUGAUGGACGUCCUUCUCUGUGUCCUCAUCUCCUGGUUCACAUGAAGGCCUGUCCUGCAGACCUCAGGCCCCCACGUUUCCUAUCCAGUAACCCCAGGCCACGUCCUCCUCGCCAGGAACCGACAAAACAAAGACGAGCCUUUAGCGGCCUGAAGACGCGUUCAUGUGCAGACUCCAGGAGCAGGAGCCUGCAGUACUGCAGCACCACCAGAGGGAGGCGCUUAGCUGUUGUUGUUCCCUGUGUUCCAGUGCCAGUCUCCCCCUCUCCCAGCAGAGCCUCCCCUGAGCUCCCAGUCUGCCCGUCCAACACCCUCCACGGUCACUGAUUCUGGGCAGCAGGGGACUGGAUCCAACCCUGCUCCAGCCUCAGCCCUACCUCAUGGCCAUACUCAGAAAGGAGAGAGGGAAACAGAGGAGAUGGGUUUCUCCAGUCCAUAGUGUCUGUGAGGGAUCUCUCUGAGUUUGACAGCCCACCAUCCAGCCAGUACAGCCGAAGCACAGACCUGGGUAGUGGUCUGAGCGGUCCUCUAUGUGCAAAUCUGAGUGACCUGGACUCAGAGGGUGGCUCUCCUCUCUUCCAGAAUAGCUCCUCUUCCAUGGUCUGUUCUGCCCUCAUGCAACCCACAGGACCCCCCAGCACACCAGCCCCUCACCACCCUCUACACCAUCCCCUCCCUCCCCAGGCCCAACUCUGCCCACCUGACUGGACCACCACGGAGCCCCAGCCAGGCCAUGUCCUCCAUCCCAACCCAGACCCUACUACCCUAGCUUUCCCCUCAGAAACCUGGCAGUCCUACCCCAGCCCACAGUGCAGGAUAACUCCCCGGCCAGGGUCACGGUUAGGGUCAGGUUUGACCUCAUCUCCUGUUGUGGCGGAGAGGCAGGACUGGACAUCACACCGCUGGUCAGUCCUUCCCCCCAUCUCUCCUGUCAGAGGUGAGGAAUGAUUCCUGCCUGUCCCAUAUGGGCCGUUCACAGCCUCCUCCCAGCCCUCCCAGCCUCCUCCCAGCCCUCCCAGCCUCCUCCCAGCCUCCUCCCAACCCUCCCAGCCUCCUCCCAGCCCUCCCAGCCUCCUCCCAACCCCCCCAGCCUCCUUCCCAGCCUCCCUCCCUGUCCAGCAGCAGCCUACACUGGUGCCCCUUACCUAGCGCCACGGGGCUGAUUGUCCACAACAUGGCUGGACAUCUUCCCUGGUACAAAGAGACGGCAGCCAACAGACAACAGAGGAAAUCAAAGCCUGGCUCUAUAGAGACGCCCUCCUCAGAUGCUCCUGUCCCCAUCGCCGCUCUGCAUUGUGAGGUUCUGCUGUCAGCCCUGUUUUGUUUCCCCUCGUAAUAAAUAACGCAGAAAGCUUUUCUUUUCCCUUUAAAGAGGCAAUAGAAAGAGGACUCUUUUGAUGAAGAGCUGGUACCGUUUGAUUCCCAGUUCAAAGGCGCGCGAGGCCCCUUCACAAUAGGAGGGAGUGGGGGGUUCCCUGCCUCGUGUGCCGUCCCCACUCAGCCGCGGCUUCCCCGCGCUCUCGCCAUUCUCCCGGUGGCUGAAAGGGAGACGUGUAGCCGAUGGUCAUAAAUCCACACUGACCACCGCACGCUGACGGGGGAAACAGUUAGAGCUACGGUCCACAAUAGAAUAUAGUGGCUUUCCGUCGCAGCUAAUUUACCGUUUAGAAUAGAGAUAAAGGACGGGGCCACUGGCAUCUGACUUUUAUGGGGGGCUUUAUGAAAGACUAUGAAAAGAGAGCAAACAAUUGGGAAAUUGUGUAUGGAUUUUCUUUCUCUAUCAGAAAUGAUGGUGCCGCCUGCGCUCUUCUAAGGUCCUUACUACUGAUUAGUAUCGGUUCCAGGUGCGUAGGAGUCAAAGUAAGAACACUGAAAGAGAUUUUGACCAGCACACGGUUGAAAAAAGGAAUACAUUCAAAACUGAGGCUUGAAUGUAACCUAAAUAUGUUUAUUAGAACAUCAUGGUGCCCCAAAAAUCAAUAAAGUGCAUAAAUGAAAGAUGGGAAAAAAAUAAAAAAUAAUAAUUGGCCUUUGGUCUUUCUCAGUGUAAAUAGUCAGCAGAGACACCUGGCUUCUAUUUCAAGGAUAAGGAUAAUUGCAUAAUUCACAUGAUCAGAAAAUCGAUAAAUCAGUACCGAGUACAAUAGACGCGGCAUGAUCUACAUUUUAUACAGAAUAUACAAAAGCAGAGAGGAAUAUCAUCAAUUAUUGCUUUUACAUGUACCAUGUGACCAUUUCUCCAUCAGAGACAUCUACAGUUCUAUAUGGUGAUACACUGUUCUCUAUGGGGAGAUAGAUCUAUAUGGUGAUACACUGUUCUCUAUGGGGAGAUACAUCUGUAUGGUGAUACACUGUUCUCUAUGGGGAGAUAGAUCUAUAUGGUGAUACACUGUUCUCUAUGGGGAGAUACAUCUGUAUGGUGAUACACUGUUCUCUAUGGGGGAGAUACAUCUAUAUGGUGAUACACUGUUCUCUAUGGGGAGAUACAUCUGUAUGGUGAUACACUGUUCACUCUGGGGAGAUACAUCUGUAUGGUGAUACACUGUUCUCUAUGGGGAGAUACAUCUAUAUGGUGAUACACUGUUCUCUAUGGGGAGAUACAUCUAUAUGGUGAUACACUGUUCUCUAUGGGGAGAUACAUCUAUAUGGUGAUACACUGUUCUCUAUGGGGAGAUACAUCUAUAUGGUGAUACACUGUUCUCUAUGGGGAGAUACAUCUAUAUGGUGAUACACUGUUCUCUAUGGGGGAGAUACAUCUAUAUGGUGAUACACUGUUCUCUAUGGGGAGAUACAUCUAUAUGGUGAUACACUGUUCUCUAUGGGGAGAUACAUCUAUAUGGUGAUACACUGUUCUCUAUGGGGGAGAUACAUCUAUAUGGUGAUACACUGUUCUCUAUGGGGGAGAUACAUCUAUAUGGUGAUACACUGUUCUCUAUGGGGAGAUACAUCUAUAUGGUGAUACACUGUUCUCUAUGGGGAGAUACAUCUAUAUGGUGAUACACUGUUCUCUAUGGGGAGAUACAUCUAUAUGGUGAUACACUGUUCUCUAUGGGGAGAUACAUCUGUAUGGUGAUACACUGUUCUCUAUGGGGGAGAUACAUCUAUAUGGUGAUACACUGUUCUCUAUGGGGAGAUACAUCUAUAUGGUGAUACACUGUUCUCUAUGGGGGAGAUACAUCUAUAUGGUGAUACACUGUUCUCUAUGGGGGAGAUACAUCUAUAUGGUGAUACACUGUUCUCUAUGGGGAGAUACAUCUAUAUGGUGAUACACUGUUCUCUAUGGGGGAGGUAAAUCUAUAUGGUGAUACACUGUUCUCUAUGGGGGAGAUACAUCUAUAUGGUGAUACACUGUUCUCUAUGGGGAGAUACAUCUAUAUGGUGAUACACUGUUCUCUAUGGGGGAGAUACAUCUAUAUGGUGAUACACUGUUCUCUAUGGGGAGAUACAUCUAUAUGGUGAUACACUGUUCUCUAUGGGGGAGAUACAUCUAUAUGGUGAUACACUGUUCUCUAUGGGGAGAUACAUCUAUAUGGUGAUACACUGUUCUCUAUGGGGAGAUACAUCUAUAUGGUGAUACACUGUUCUCUAUGGGGAGAUACAUCUAUAUGGUGAUACACUGUUCUCUAUGGGGAGAUACAUCUAUAUGGUGAUACACUGUUCUCUAUGGGGAGAUACAUCUAUAUGGUGAUACACUGUUCUCUAUGGGGGAGAUACAUCUGUAUGGUGAUACACUGUUCUCU